GACGAACGCUGGCGGUAUGCCUAACACAUGCAAGUCGAACGAGAUUAUUUAUUUGUUUACAAAGAAAUGAUUGCAGUGGCGGACGGGUGAGGAACACGUAAGAACUUACCUUUUGGCGGGGGAUAACAACGGGAAACUGUUGCUAAUACCCCAUAACGCUGAGGAGCGAAAGGGAAACUGCCAAAAGAGAGGCUUGCGUCUGAUUAGCUAGUUGGAAGAGGUAAAUGCUCCCCAAGGCGACGAUCAGUAGCUGGUCUGAGAGGAUGAUCAGCCACACUGGGACUGAGACACGGCCCAGACUCCUACGGGAGGCAGCAGUGGGGAAUCUUAGACAAUGGGCGCAAGCCUGAUCUAGCCAUGCCGCGUGAGCGAUGAAGGCCUUAGGGGUUGUAAAGCUCUUUCAGGGGGGGAAGAUAAUGACUGUACCCCCAGAAGAAGCCCCGGCUAACUCCGUG
rnacentral:rRNA from 1 species